rnacentral:rRNA from 1 species
UGGCCAGCCUUGCUGAAUUAUUCCACCCGUGUCUUUUGCGUACUUCUUGUUUCCUUGGUGGGCUCGCCCACCACAAGGACCAACCCAUAAACCUUUUUGCAAUGGCAAUCAGCGUCAGUAACAAUGUAAUAAUUUACAACUUUCAACAACGGAUCUCUUGGUUCUGGCAUCGAUGAAGAACGCAGCGAAAUGCGAUAAGUAGUGUGAAUUGCAGAAUUCAGUGAAUCAUCGAAUCUUUGAACGCACAUUGCGCCCUUUGGUAUUCCAAAGGGCAUGCCUGUUCGAGCGUCAUUUGUACCCUCAAGCUUUGCUUGGUGUUGGGCGUCUUUUUGUCUCCCCUUGCGGGAGACUCGCCUUAAAGUCAUUGGCAGCCGGCCUACUGGUUUCGGAGCGCAGCACAAGUCGCGCUCUCUUCCAGCCCCAAGGUCUAGCAUCCACCAAGCCUUUUUUUUCAACUUUUGACCUCGGAUCAGGUAGGGAUACCCGCUGAACUUAAGCAUAUCAAUAAGGCC